UAUUAUAUUGUAUGUUAAUAUGGUUUGCCUGAGUAGUAGUAGUUAUGUUCUUGAAACUCAAAGAAUUUGGCGGUGUUUUAGUCCUUUCAGAGGAAUCUGUUCUGUAAUUGAUAGUACACGAUUAUUGAUACUUUUUUUGGUUUAGUUUGUAUAUCGCCGUCAUAAGAUUAUCUUUAUAGAGAGUUGAAAAUUUCUUUAUUUUUAAUUUGAAAGUAUGUCAGGUCAAGGUGCAGCUUAUGGGAAAGUGGAAAUGGAUUACAAUAAUUUUAAUUAGAUGGAUAGUAUGGUAAGAGGUGCUUGAAGGUGGAUUUGAUUGUAAAUUUACUUAUAAUGGUUUUUUGAUUUGGGCUCUAAAAUGUGCACACAUCGCCCGUCGCUCUCGUUAUAAUAUGAG
rnacentral:rRNA from 1 species